rnacentral:rRNA from 1 species
CCUACGGGGUGCAGCAGUGAGGAAUAUUGGUCAAUGGCCGCAGGGCUGAACCAGCCAAGUCGCGUGAGGGAUGACGGUCCUAUGGAUUGUAAAUCUCUUUUGUCAGGGAGCAAAGGGCGCCACGUGUGGCGCUUUGCGAGUACCUGAAGAAAAAGCAUCGGCUAACUCCGUGCCAGCAGCCGCGGUAAUACGGAGGAUGCGAGCGUUAUCCGGAUUUAUUGGGUUAAAGGGGUGCGCAGGCGGAAUGUCAAGUCAGCGGUAAAAUUUCGGGGCUCAACCGCGUCGUGCCGUUGAAACUGGCGUUCUUGAGUGAGCGAGAAGUAUGCGGAAUGCGUGGUGUAGCGGUGAAAUGCAUAGAUAUCACGCAGAACUCCGAUUGCGAAGGCAGCAUACCGGCGCUCAACUGACGCUCAUGCACGAAAGCGUGGGUAUCGAACAGGAUUAGAUACCCUUGUAGUC